AGACUUUGAUCCUGGCUCAGGGUGAACGCUGGCGGCGUGCUUAACACAUGCAAGUCGAGCGAAGCACUUAUCAUUGACUCUUCGGAAGAUUUGAUAUUUGACUGAGCGGCGGACGGGUGAGUAACGCGUGGGUAACCUGCCUCAUACAGGGGAAUAACAGUUAGAAAUGGCUGCUAAUGCCGCAUAAGCGCACAGGACCGCAUGGUCUGGUGUGAAAAACUGAGGUGGUAUGAGAUGGACCCGCGUCUGAUUAGGUAGUUGGUGGGGUAACGGCCUACCAAGCCGACGAUCAGUAGCCGGCCUGAGAGGGUGAACGGCCACAUUGGGACUGAGACACGGCCCAGACUCCUACGGGAGGCAGCAGUGGGGAAUCUUCCGCAAUGGGCGAAAGCCUGACGGAGCAACGCCGCGUGAACGAUGAAGGUCUUAGGAUCGUAAAGUUCUGUUGUUAGGGACGAAGGGUAAGAAUCAUAAUAAGGUUUUUAUUUGACGGUACCUAACGAGGAGGCCACGGCUAACUACGUGCCAGCAGCCGCGGUAAUACGUAGGCGGCAAGCGUUGUCCGGAAUUAUUGGGCGUAAAGGGAGCGCAGGCGGGAAACUAAGCGGAUCUUAAAAGUGCGGGGCUCAACCCCGUGAUGGGGUCCGAACUGAUUUUCUUGAGUGCAGGAGAGGAAAGCGGAAUUCCCAGUGUAGCGGUGAAAUGCGUAGAUAUUGGGAAGAACACCAGUGGCGAAGGCGGCUUUCUGGACUGUAACUGACGCUGAGGCUCGAAAGCUAGGGUAGCGAACGGGAUUAGAUACCCCGGUAGUCCUAGCCGUAAACGAUGGAUACUAGGUGUGGGAGGCAUCGACCCCUUCCGUGCCGGAGUUAACGCAAUAAGUAUCCCGCCUGGGGAGUACGGCCGCAAGGUUGCAACUCAAAGGAAUUGAU
rnacentral:rRNA from 1 species